GGACGAACGCUGGCGGCGUGCUUAACACAUGCAAGUCGAACGGAAAGGCCCUGCUUUUGUGGGGUGCUCGAGUGGCGAACGGGUGAGUAACACGUGAGUAACCUGCCCUUGACUUUGGGAUAACUUCAGGAAACUGGGGCUAAUACCGGAUAGGAGCUCCUGCUGCAUGGUGGGGGUUGGAAAGUUUCGGCGGUUGGGGAUGGACUCGCGGCUUAUCAGCUUGUUGGUGGGGUAGUGGCUUACCAAGGCUUUGACGGGUAGCCGGCCUGAGGGGGUGACCGGCCACAUUGGGACUGGGAUACGGCCCAGACUCCUACGGGAGGCAGCAGUGGGGAAUAUUGCACAAUGGGCGGAAGCCUGAUGCAGCAACGCCGCGUGCGGGAUGACGGCCUUCGGGUUGUAAACCGCUUUCGCCUGUGACGAAGCGUGAGUGACGGUAAUGGGUAAAGAAGCACCGGCUAACUACGUG
rnacentral:rRNA from 1 species